CAGUAGCCGCGGGAAUACAGAGGGUGCGAGCGUUAAUCGGAUUUACUGGGCGUAAAGCGUGCGUAGGCGGCUUUUUAAGUCGGAUGUGAAAUCCCUGAGCUUAACUUAGGAAUUGCAUUCGAUACUGGGAAGCUAGAGUAUGGGAGAGGAUGGUAGAAUUCCAGGUGUAGCAGUGAAAUGCGUAGAGAUCUGGAGGAAUACCGAUGGCGAAGGCAGCCAUCUGGCCUAACACUGACGCUGAGGUACGAAAGCAUGGGGAGCAAACAGGAUUAGAUACCCCCGUAGUCCCUGUCUCUUAUAC
rnacentral:rRNA from 1 species